CCCCUCCCACACACACCUUUUAACUUAAUUUGGGAAAAAUUGAUUUACCAAUAGGGUUUUGUGUGGCCGUCCGUCUGUUAAUCAGGAUUUGUACGAGAACACAUAUUAAACUUUGCUUUUCGAUAAUUUUGAAUAAAACAUAACUGUUCACAUUUAUUUAGGGACUCAAUUAAGCAUAGGAAGUUCCCUUUGUAUUGUGGAUCUUUAAUAAUAUCGGAAAUUCGCUACCAGCUGAAUCAGCAGUUGUAUUAUUUUUUUAACGUUUCCCGAUCGUACGAGAACAUUAUGGUCAAGGCCUUAGUAGUUAAACACUCCCAUUCGUUGUAGCAGGGACUUUCUGUAAUAAGUAUAUAUACUAGCAUAGAAAGUCCCUGGUUGUAGUUAUAUACAUGUUUGUUCAGCUUUCAAAAAUAUAGAGAAAUACAAGGUCCUCGAUAAAAAAAUAUAUAUCUUGCGUUCUAUGAUCUUGCUUUAUAUGUUUUUUAACUUACCAGUUUGAUUUCUAACAACAAGAUUUUUAAAUACGAAUAAUAAUUGUUUGCAUAAAAAUUGCUUCCAGGAUCCAGCAAUACUGAUGUUUCUUAAAGUAGGAAAUUGAAUGAAAAAGGGUCCUGAUGAAGGUAAAUCCAGAAAAGCAUAUCGGACGCAAUAACUUAUUAAACGUGUUGUUUUCCAUUUUUUU
rnacentral:lncRNA from 1 species